AACCAUAGGCCAUGAAUCUGGUCUUGGGACACUGUCAGGUGGGCAGUUUGACUGGGGCGGUCGCCUCCCAAAAGGUAACGGAGGCGCCCAAAGGUUCUCUCAGUACGGUCGGAAAUCGUACGUAGAGGGUAAAGGCAAAAGAGAGCUUGAUUGCAAGACAUACAGGUCGAGCAAGGAUGAAAAUCGGACUUAGUGAUCCGGUGGUUCUGCGUGGA
rnacentral:rRNA from 1 species